rnacentral:lncRNA from 1 species
CAAUAUUCAGCCAGGCUUUCUUCUUGAAACUGCGCAAUGGCAGUAAUCUCCCUCCUCAUGCUGCUUACCUUUGCUGCUGGGAAGAACUUGUUGAGGAAGAACUUGUUGAGGAAUCCUUGUUGUGUUUCCUGCCAGCUAUCAAAAGGGCGAUACCGCUGAUCUAGGAACUAGUCUUUUGCUGCACCUUGAAGAGACAUUGGAAACACCAGUAGGCCUCAUGGAUGAGCACACCCAACUAAACUCCUUGAGGUGCUUGUGUGGAUUUUCAUGUGCCAGCCCAUGGAACUUGGGAAGCCUCUUGAUCAGCUCACACAUCAAGUCAACAAAAUUUUCCAUCUCCUCUAUUCUCGUGCAAAACAUGUCUCAAACCUGGACUUCCACUUCAAGAAAGGAUUAUACCAAACAUAUAGAAGCAUAAUAUAGAGGAAAACAACUAUUUACAGACUUUGGAAUUUCCAGAAACAACAACUAAAUGCACAAAAUAACAAAAUGAUAAAAACCUAAACACACAAAAACUGCUAAAAGAAAUAAACCGAAACAAGACUAACUAAACACCCUAAAACUCAACACAACACACUUAAAC